AAACCGGCCCUUUUUAGGGCCACAAAAAAUGAUUUUCAACUGAAUU
rfam:Oikopleura dioica, whole genome shotgun assembly, reference scaffold set, scaffold scaffold_101